rnacentral:lncRNA from 1 species
GUUCCAACCCCUUUGCGGGGUCCAAGGGCUCCUGGAGGAGGAGAUGACUUCUGGGGCACAGCAAACCAAGAUGUGUGCUCCCCAGAGCUGACUUGGAAGCUGUCCGGCCCCUCUGCAUUCACCCCAGCUGCCCAUGUACACCAGGCAGCAGGAGGGACAGCCACUGCAGGCUGCCAGCCUGUCCUUUGCUGUCUGUGUCUGUGUCAAGAGUGAAUGAAGUGAUAAAACCAGGAGAGCAGUGUGCUGUGAAAAAGUUAAAGCCUGACCCAAGCUCAGACAGAGGAAGCAGGAGCCACCUGAACAACUGAAGGGUGCAGACACCCAGAAGCUGGUUUUGUAAAUAAAUCGUGCACCUUGGCGCUGGUGCACUAAUUGGA